AAGAGACGUUGCCCUUCGGGGUAUACCUCCACCCUUUGUUUAUUAUACCUUUGUUGCUUUGGCGGGCCCGUCCUCGGACCACCGGCUUCUGCUGGUCAGUGCCCGCCAGAGGACCUAAAACUCUGUUUGUUAAUAUUGUCUGAGUACUAUAUAAUAGUUA
rnacentral:misc_RNA from 1 species